UGCCAGCAGCCGCGGUAACACGGGGGGCUAGCGUUGUUCGGAAUUACUGGGCGUAAAGCGCACGUAGGCGGAUUAGUAAGUUAGGGGUGAAAUCCCGGGGCUCAACCCCGGAACUGCCUCUAAUACUGCUAGUCUUGAGUUCGAGAGAGGUGAGUGGAAUUCCGAGUGUAGAGGUGAAAUUCGUAGAUAUUCGGAGGAACACCAGUGGCGAAGGCGGCUUUCUGGACCGAUACUGACGCUGAGACGCGAAAGCGUGGGGAGCAAACAGGAUUAGAUA
rnacentral:rRNA from 1 species